rnacentral:tRNA from 1 species
GGGGCCCGGGCAGGCUGGAACUAAUCACCGCAUAGCAGGGCGAACCACCCGUGAUCCCGUGGACUUUUAAUCCGCGGGUUCAGGGUUCGAUCCCCUGGGGCCCUACCA